UACAGAGGGGGCGAGCGUUAUUCGGAAUUAUUGGGCGUAAAGGGCGCGUAGGCGGCUUUUCAAGUGACGGGUGAAAUCCCUCGGCUUAACCGAGGAACUGCCUGUCAGACUGGAAGGCUUGAGACCGGGAGAGGUGAGUGGAAUUCCCAGUGUAGCGGUGAAAUGCGUAGAUAUUGGGAGGAACACCAGUGGCGAAGGCGGCUCACUGGACCGGAACUGACGCUGAGGCGCAAAAGCGUGGGGAGCAAACAGG
rnacentral:rRNA from 1 species